GACAGAGGGGGCAAGCGUUGCUCGGAAUUACUGGGCGUAAAGGGCGCGUAGGCGGGAUGGCAAGUCGGUCGUGAAAUCCCUCGGCUCAACCGAGGAACGUCGAUCGAUACUGCUGUUCUUGAGGAUUGCAGAGGAGACUGGAAUUCCCGGUGUAGCGGUGAAAUGCGCAGAUAUCAGGAGGAACACCGGUGGCGAAGGCGGGUCUCUGGGCAGUAACUGACGCUGAGGAACGAAAGCGUGGGUAGCGAACAGG
rnacentral:rRNA from 1 species